rnacentral:rRNA from 1 species
CUACGGGACGCUGCAGUGAGGAAUAUUGCACAAUGGGGGGAACCCUGGUGCAGCAACGCCGCGUGGAGGAUGACGCAUUUCGGUGUGUAAACUCCUUUUAUAUGUCAAGAAAAUGACGGUAGCAUAUGAAUAAGCACCGGCUAACUCCGUGCCAGCAGCCGCGGUAAUACGGAGGGUGCAAGCGUUACUCGGAAUCACUGGGCGGAAAGGACGCGUAGGCGGGUUGGAAAGUCAGGUGUGAAAUCCUACAGCUUAACUGUAGAACUGCACUUGAAACUUCUAAUCUAGAGUAUGGGAGGGGGAGAUGGAAUUAGUGGUGUAGGGGUAAAAUCCGUAGAUGUCACUAGGAAUACCUAAAGCGAAGGCGAUCUCCUGGAACAUUACUGACGCUAAGGCGUGAAAGCGUGGGGAGCAAACAGGAUUAGAUACCCUUGUAGUC